rnacentral:lncRNA from 1 species
CUUUAACAAUGCCAUACACAAGUCAGUGCUGGCUCUGGAGUACAGAAGUCUCGAAUCCGUCUUACUGAGUCAAAAACGAAGGUCAAGCAUCAAAGCUGAAUCCAAGAAUCCACAAUCUUUGGGGGAGUUUGUUUUGUGCCUCCUCUAGCUUUGGUUGCUGCCAGCCACCUGGAUUUGUGACCACAUCUCUGCAGUUCAAAGCCAACACUGCAGGCUACAGCUGCCUUCUGGGAACAUGUGAAGUCCAUCUUCUACUCUGUUUUCUGAGGCAUGCGAUAAUACAGAAGCCCAAGAUAAUCCAGAGCAGUGGUUCUCGCCUUUUUGCACAACGCAGAGAAGACUUUGACUGCAUC